UACAGAGGGGGCGAGCGUUGUUCGGAAUUACUGGGCGUAAAGGGCGCGUAGGCGGCCUUCUAAGUCGAACGUGAAAUCCCCGGGCUCAACCCGGGAACUGCGUCCGAGACUGGAAGGCUUGAAUCCGGGAGAGGGAUGUGGAAUUCCAGGUGUAGCGGUGAAAUGCGUAGAUAUCUGGAGGAACAUCGGUGGCGAAGGCGGCAUCCUGGACCGGUAUUGACGCUGAGGCGCGAAAGCCAGGGGAGCAAACGGG
rnacentral:rRNA from 1 species